AUUGAACGCUGGCGGCAGGCCUAACACAUGCAAGUCGAGCGAGCGGCGGACGGGUGAGUAUUGUCUGGGAAACUGCGUGUUGGAGGGGGAUAACUCCUGGAAACGGUAGAUCAUACCGCAUAACAUCGGAUGUGUCCAGAUGGGAUUAGCUAGUGGGUGGGGUAACGGCGCACCUAGGCGACGAUCCCUAGCUGGUCUGAGAGGAUGACCCGCCACACUGGAACUGAGACACGGUCCAGACUCCUACGGGAGGCAGCAGUGGGGAAUAUUGCACAAUGGGCGCAAGCCUGAUGCAGCCAUGCCGCGUGUAUGAAGAAGGCCUUCGGGUUGUAAAGUACUUUCAGCGGGGAGGCGUUACCCGCAGAAGAAGCACCGGCUAACUCCGUGCCAGCAGCCGCGGUAAUAC
rnacentral:rRNA from 1 species